GGGCGAUUAGCUCAGUUGGUAGAGCAUCUCCCUUACAAGGAGGGGGCCAUUGGUUCGAGUCCGAUAUCGCCCA
rnacentral:tRNA from 2 species